CUGAACUGUGUACACCUGUGUCAUCUGAGCUGACUGGCCAUCUCCUUACCUGCAUCAGUAUCACCAAGAGCAGCGCCACAUGGACACUGACUAACAGCACACCACACAGAUGUCCUACUUCUUUUUCAUAAGUACAUGUCUGCAGUGCAUGGUGAGUGACUACAUGUAUCAUGGGAGUUGGUCCAAGGCCAGGGCUUCUCUGUUGAGUCCCUUCAUCUUCAGUCUAUGGGAUGAAACCUUGAAAGAUACACUGAAGGAUGCCUUGGUCUAGACCCUGACACCCUCGAAGAGAUGAGGCCCAAGUGACAGGAACUCUGUGAUACAUCCCAUGCCUGAGCAUCUCAACUUUGCAGGAGAUGAAGUGAGCAACUGGUGAUACCAGAAGGGAGCACCCAUGCUGCAGCUCACAGUAUUCACAUUCAUAUCUCUGGUGUGGAGGC
rnacentral:lncRNA from 1 species